rnacentral:misc_RNA from 1 species
GAUGAAGAACGUAGCGAAAUGCGAUAAGGAGUGUGAAUUGCAGAAUUCAGUGAAUCAUCGAAUCUUUGAACGCACAUUGCGCCCCUUGGUAUUCCAUGGGGCAUGCCUGUUCGAGCGUCAUUUGUACCUUCAAGCUCUGCUUGGUGUUGGGUGUUUGUCUCGCCUCUGCGUGUAGACUCGCCUCAAAACAAUUGGCAGCCGGCGUAUUGAUUUCGGAGCGCAGUACAUCUCGCGCUUUGCACUCAUAACGACGACGUCCAAAAGUACAUUUUUACACUCUUGACCUCGGAUCAGGUAGGGAUACCCGCUGAACUUAAGCAUAUCAAUAAGCGGAGGA